rnacentral:rRNA from 1 species
UACGAAGGGGGCUAGCGUUGCUCGGAAUCACUGGGCGUAAAGCGCACGUAGGCGGAUUGCUAAGUCAGGGGUGAAAUCCUGGAGCUCAACUCCAGAACUGCCUUUGAUACUGAGGGUCUUGAGUCCGGGAGAGGUGAGUGGAACUGCGAGUGUAGAGGUGAAAUUCGUAGAUAUUCGCAAGAACACCAGUGGCGAAGGCGGCUCACUGGCCCGGUACUGACGCUGAGGCACGAAAGCGUGGGGAGCAAACAGG